GACGAACGCUGGCGGCGUGCUUAACACAUGCAAGUCGAACGGUGAUCUCGAGAGCUUGCUCUUGGGUGAUCAGUGGCGAACGGGUGAGUAACACGUGAGUAACCUGCCCCAGACUCUGGAAUAACCCCGGGAAACCGGAGCUAAUACCGGAUAUGACACCAAUCCGCAUGGGUAUGGUGUGGAAAGUUUUUCGGUCUGGGAUGGACUCGCGGCCUAUCAGCUUGUUGGUGAGGUAGUGGCUCACCAAGGCGACGACGGGUAGCCGGCCUGAGAGGGCGACCGGCCACACUGGGACUGAGACACGGCCCAGACUCCUACGGGAGGCAGCAGUGGGGAAUAUUGCACAAUGGGCGCAAGCCUGAUGCAGCGACGCCGCGUGAGGGAUGACGGCCUUCGGGUUGUAAACCUCUUUCAGCAGGGAAGAAGCGCAAGUGACGGUACCUGCAGAAGAAGCACCGGCUAACUACGUGC
rnacentral:rRNA from 1 species